rnacentral:rRNA from 1 species
AUUGAACGCUGGCGGCAGGCCUAACACAUGCAAGUCGAACGAGUGGCGGACGGGUGAGUAAUGUCUGGGAAACUGCCUGAUGGAGGGGGAUAACUACUUGAAACGGUAGCUAAUACCGCAUACCAUCAGAUGUGCCCCGAUGGGAUUAGCUAGUUGGUGGGGUAACGGCUAACCAAGGCGCCAAUCCCUAGCUGGUCUGAGAGGGUGACCAGCCACACUGGAACGGUGACACGGUCCCGACUCCUACGGGAGGCAGCAGUGGGGAAGAGUCAACAAUGGGCGCAAGCCUGAUGCAGCCAUGCCGCGUGUAGGCAGAAGGCCUUCGGGUUGUAAAGUCCUUUCAGCGGGGAGGCGUUACCCGCAGAAGAAGCACCGGCUAACUCCGUGCCAGCCGCCGCGGUAAUAC